CGUAGGUCCCGAGCGUUGUCCGGAUUUAUUGGGCGUAAAGACGAGCGCAGGCGGUUCUUUAAGUCUGAAGUUAAAGGACAGUGGCUUAACCAUUGUACGCUUUGGAAACUGGAGGACUUGAGUGCAGAAGGGGAGAGUGGAAUUCCAUGUGUAGCGGUGAAAUAGCGUAGAUAUAUGGAGGAACACCGGUGGCGAAAGCGGCUCUCUGGUCUGUAACUGACGCUGAGGCUCGAAAAGCGUGGGGAGCAAACAGGAUU
rnacentral:rRNA from 1 species